rnacentral:lncRNA from 7 species
AGGUUAAUUCUCUUCUCCUCCUGUUCUUCCUCAGAGCUGUGGGGUCAGCACACACAUGCAGCUGCUCAAACACCCUUGCAGCACUGACCACGGCCCAGCUCUUAGCCUUUCCUUCCUGACCUCACCAGCACCCGUCAGCUCAGCAGAGGCAAGCAACACGACCCAGAGUCGGAGAUCUGUAUGUUCAGCAGAGUGCACUGGGUACCUCUCUGUGUUUUGAGAACUGGCCUGAACAGCAACUGGGAAACAGAAGGCAUGGAAAGAAACCCCUGAGCACACUGCUUAGGGAAGAGGAACCCUGACACAUUUAAAGGAUGCUCUGGAAGUGGUGACCUGAACAGACCAGGAGAAUGGCAACUGAGACUUCAUCUGUGCACAGGACUCAAAUAAAGCAGCAGCAGGAGUUAAGGCUGUGGACCACAGUGCUGUAUCUUCUACCUGGUUAUGUCUCUGAGCCUGAGCAGCCAGGCUCCACAGAGCUUACACUGAUCUGCAGUACUGCUGAGGGACUGGGAGACAACAAAUUGAUUUGCAACUGAGUGCAAGCCACUUAUGUUGACUCUAGAUGGUGGUCAUGUGUUUUGUUUGAAAAAUGUAAGAACCUAAGAAUGACCCAGAUGAUGAGCAUCUCUAUUUUUUGCUUUGUCAUUGUUUCUCAUUCUGUUUUGUUUUGGUUUAGUUUCGGUAAAUGUUGUCAUGAGAAUAUGGCAGUAGCAUGGUCUUACUCAUUUCCAUUUUGUGGAUGAUAUUCAUCUACACUCUUUGCUUCCAGCAGAAAGAAUAUAUUAAUUAUUCAGAAUGGCAAGAAUUGAGCGUUCAAAUGCCUCUGGUGAAUGUAUGAAUUAUAGAUUGAUCUGGCUAUAUGCAUGUUUUGCUCUUAUGAGAUGGGCUUUUAAGACUGUCUCUUAGUGGACUGUUAGUCAAUAUGAACCUGAUGCAUGCCAGUAAUAAACUAAUAGUGCAGGU